UACGGGGGGAGCAAGCGUUGUUCGGAUUUACUGGGCGUAAAGAGCUCGUAGGUGGUUUGUCGCGUUGUUCGUGAAAACUCACAGCUCAACUGUGGGCGUGCGGGCGAUACGGGCAGACUUGAGUUCGGCAGGGGAGACUGGAAUUCCUGGUGUAGCGGUGAAAUGCGCAGAUAUCAGGAGGAACACCGGUGGCGAAGGCGGGUCUCUGGGCCGAUACUGACGCUGAGGAGCGAAAGCGUGGGGAGCGAACAGG
rnacentral:rRNA from 1 species